AGCUAUAUCACAUUGAAACACUGGUUCUCAUAUGAUCAUCAAAGUUAAGCAACAUCAGGCCUAGUCCAUACUUAGAUGGGUGACUACUUGGAAUACGAGGUGCUGUAAG